rnacentral:rRNA from 1 species
ACAUGCAAGUCGAACGGUGAAAGAGAGCUUGCUCUCUGGAUCAGUGGCGAACGGGUGAGUAACACGUGAGCAAUCUGCCCCUGACUCUGGGAUAAGCGCUGGAAACGGCGUCUAAUACCGGAUACGAGCUGCGAAGGCAUCUUCAGCAGCUGGAAAGAACUUCGGUCAGGGAUGAGCUCGCGGCCUAUCAGCUUGUUGGUGAGGUAAUGGCUCACCAAGGCGUCGACGGGUAGCCGGCCUGAGAGGGUGACCGGCCACACUGGGACUGAGACACGGCCCAGACUCCUACGGGAGGCAGCAGUGGGGAAUAUUGCACAAUGGGCGCAAGCCUGAUGCAGCAACGCCGCGUGAGGGACGACGGCCUUCGGGUUGUAAACCUCUUUUAGCAGGGAAGAAGCGAAAGUGACGGUACCUGCAGAAAAAGCACCGGCUAACUACGUGCCAGCAGCCGCGGUAAUACGUAGGGUGCAAGCGUUAUCCGGAAUUAUUGGGCGUAAAGAGCUCGUAGGCGGUUUGUCGCGUCUGCUGUGAAAACCCGAGGCUCAACCUCGGGCCUGCAGUGGGUACGGGCAGACUAGAGUGCGGUAGGGGAGAUUGGAAUUCCUGGUGUAGCGGUGGAAUGCGCAGAUAUCAGGAGGAACACCGAUGGCGAAGGCAGAUCUCUGGGCCGUAACUGACGCUGAGGAGCGAAAGGGUGGGGAGCAAACAGGCUUAGAUACCCUGGUAGUCCACCCCGUAAACGUUGGGAACUAGUUGUGGGGUCCAUUCCACGGAUUCCGUGACGCAGCUAACGCAUUAAGUUCCCCGCCUGGGGAGUACGGCCGCAAGGCUAAAACUCAAAGGAAUUGACGGGGACCCGCACAAGCGGCGGAGCAUGCGGAUUAAUUCGAUGCAACGCGAAGAACCUUACCAAGGCUUGACAUAUACGAGAACACCGUGGAAACACGGGACUCUUUGGACACUCGUAAACAGGUGGUGCAUGGUUGUCGUCAGCUCGUGUCGUGAGAUGUUGGGUUAAGUCCCGCAACGAGCGCAACCCUCGUUCUAUGUUGCCAGCACGUAAU